CUACGGGAUGCUGCAGUGGGGAAUCUUAGACAAUGGGGGAAACCCUGAUCUAGCCAUGCCGCGUGAGCGACGACGGCCCUAGGGUUGUAAAGCUCUUUCAGCAGGGAAGAUAAUGACGGUACCUGCAGAAGAAGUCCCGGCUAACUCCGUGCCAGCAGCCGCGGUAAUACGGAGGGGACUAGCGUUGUUCGGAAUUACUGGGCGUAAAGCGCGCGUAGGCGGAUUGUUAAGUCGGGGGUGAAAUCCCGGGGCUCAACCCCGGAACUGCCCUCGAUACUGGCAGUCUUGAGUUCGAGAGAGGUGAGUGGAAUUCCGAGUGUAGAGGUGAAAUUCGUAGAUAUUCGGAGGGACACCAGUGGCGAAGGCGGCUCACUGGCUCGAUACUGACGCUGAGGUGCGAAAGCGUGGGGAGCAAACAGGAUUAGAUACCCCGGUAGUC
rnacentral:rRNA from 1 species